rnacentral:rRNA from 1 species
UACGUAGGGUGCGAGCGUUGUCCGGAUUUAUUGGGCGUAAAGCGCGUGUAGGCGGCCAGGUAGGUCCGCUGUGAAAACCCGAGGCUCAACCUCGGGACGUCGGCGGAAACCAUCUGGCUAGAGUCCGGAAGAGGAGAAUGGAAUUCCCGGUGUAGCGGUGAAAUGCGCAGAUAUCGGGAAGAACACCCGUGGCGAAGGCGGUUCUCUGGGACGGUACUGACGCUGAGACGCGAAAGCGUGGGGAGCGAACAGGAUUAGAU